UGCCAUGUAUUGCCAUUUUAGCAUAAUUAUACCUUUAUGUGCUCGUAUAUUGAUUAUGUUGCAUGUUUAAUUUGUAAAUCUAAUUAUGUUUGAUUGCAUGUGUUUAAUUUUAUGGCAAUUAGAAUCUUGAUCAUUAUGAUGCUUACUUUAAUGAUUGCGCACCCGCAUGAUCACCUCAUAUGUUAGUGGAUAAGUAUAAAAUCAAUUCAAACUGCCUGUGAAAAAUCAUUUUGUUAAAAUGAACAAGAUUAGGUACCGAAAGGGCACUAAUUAGUUAAUUAGUGUAAUCAAG
rnacentral:lncRNA from 1 species